rnacentral:rRNA from 1 species
GGUAGGACUACCCGCUGAACUUAAGCAUAUCAAUAAGCGGGAGG